GAUGAACGCUGGCGGCGUGCUUAACACAUGCAAGUCGAACGGUGAACACGGAGCUUGCUCUGUGGGAUCAGUGGCGAACGGGUGAGUAACACGUGAGCAACCUGCCCCUGACUCUGGGAUAAGCGCUGGAAACGGCGUCUAAUACUGGCUAUGUGACGUGACCGCAUGGUCUGCGUUUGGAAAGAUUUUUCGGUUGGGGUUGGGAUCGCGGCCUAUCAGCUUGUUGGUGAGGUAAUGGCUCAGCAAGGCGUCGACGGGUAGCCGGCCUGAGAGGGUGACCGGCCACGCUGGGACGGAGACACGGCCCAGCCUCCUACGGGAGGCAGCAGUGGGGAAUAGUGCACUAUGGGCGCAAGCCUGAUGCAGCAACGCCGCGUGGGGGAUGACGGCCUUCGGGUUGGAUUCCUCUUUUAGCAGGGAAGAAGCGAAAGUGACGGUACCUGCAGAAAAAGCUCCGGCUAACUACGUG
rnacentral:rRNA from 1 species